AUGGCUGUCGUCAGCUCGUGUCGUGAGAUGUUGGGUUAAGUCCGUAACGAGCGCAACCCUUGUCCUUAGUUACCAGCACGGUUAUGGUGGGCGACUCUAAGGAGGACUGCCGGUGGACAAACCGGAGGAAGGUGGGGGAUGACGUCAAGUCAUCAUGGCCCUUACGGCCUGGGCUACACACGUGCUACAAUGGUCGGUACAAAAGGGUUGCCAAGCCGCGAGGUGGAGCUAAUCCCAUAAAACCGAUCGUAGUCCGGAUCGCAGUCUGCAACUCGACUGCGUGAAGUCGGAAUCGCUAGUAAUCGUGAAUCAGAAUGUCACGGUGAAUACGUUCCCGGGCCUU
rnacentral:rRNA from 1 species